GGCGUUCUAAGUCUCCUUGUUACUCCUGAAGGUAUCCAAGGAUCCUCCUUGUUUAAUGAAUUUUUGUCGACUCAAAAUCCUUCAUAUGCGCGCAUAUGUAUCCCUAAUAUAUAAUUGGGAAAAUUUUAAUCUGCUCACUGAAAAUUUUAGUCUGCCCACUUUAUUCUGUCCACCAAUCAUCUGUAUCCUGAAUCAGCCCGUCCCCUGC
rnacentral:lncRNA from 1 species